GAAGCGAAGCCGCCGAGGCGGAGNAAACCUCACAAACAGCGUCUCAGUUCAGAUUGCAGGCUGCAACCCGCCUGCAUGAAGUCGGAAUUGCUAGUAAUCGCGGAUCAGCAUGCCGCGGUGAAUACGUUCCCGGGCCUUGUACACACCGCCCGUCACACCAUGAGAGGCCGGGGGGACCCGAAGUCCGUAGCUUAACCGUAAGGAGGGCGCGGCCGAAGGUAAAACUGGUGAUUGGGGUGAAGUCGUAACAAGGUAGC
rnacentral:rRNA from 1 species